rnacentral:misc_RNA from 1 species
CAGAGACUCUGCCCUUUGGGUAGACCUCCCACCCUGUGUCGUUAUACCUUCGUUGCUUUGGCGGGCCGCGGGGCCCCGGCCCCGCCCCUGGCUCCGGCUAGGGCGCGCCCGCCAGAGGACCUCAAAACCUGAAUGUUAGUGUCGUCUGAGUACUAUAUAAUAGUUA